rnacentral:rRNA from 1 species
GGUUAAGUGACUAAGCGUACAGGGCGGAUGCCUUGGCAAUCAGAGGCGAUGAAGGACGUGCUAAUCUGCGAAAAGCUUGGAUGAGUCGAUAAGAGGCGUUUAAUCCAAGAUAUCCGAAUGGGGAAACCCAGUAGAUGAAGAAUCUACUAUCAAUAAAUGAAUACAUAGUUUAUUGAGGCGAACCGGGAGAACUGAAACAUCUAAGUACCCCGAGGAAAAGAAAUCAACCGAGAUUCUGUGAGUAGCGGCGAGCGAAAGCGGAAGAGCCAGUAAGUUUUAGCUAGCGUAUUAGAGGAAUUGGCUGGGAAGCCAAAUCAAAGAGGGUGAUAAUCCCGUACUCGAAAGUAUGGUAGUGGAACUAAGCUUACGAUAAGUAAGGCGGGACACGAGAAAUCCUGUUUGAAGAUGGGGGACCAUCCUCCAAGGCUAAAUACUCCUGAUUGACCGAUAGUGAACCAGUACUGUGAAGGAAAGGCGAAAAGAACCCCGGUGAGGGGAGUGAAAUAGAACCUGAAACCCUGUACGUACAAGCAGUAGGAGCGAGGGCAACCUUGUGACUGCGUACCUUUUGUAUAAUGGGUCAGCGACUUAUAUUUUGUAGCGAGGUUAACUGAAUAAGGGAGCCGAAGGGAAACCGAGUCUUAACUGGGCGUUGAGUUGCAAGGUAUAGACCCGAAACCCGGUGAUCUAGCCAUGGGCAGGUUGAAGGUUGGGUAACACUAACUGGAGGACCGAACCGACUAAUGUUGAAAAAUUAGCGGAUGACUUGUGGCUGGGGGUGAAAGGCCAAUCAAACCGGGAGAUAGCUGGUUCUCCCCGAAAUCUAUUUAGGUAGAGCCUUGAGCGGACACCUUCGGGGGUAGAGCACUGUUUCGGCUAGGGGUCCAUCCCGGAUUACCAACCCGAUGCAAACUGCGAAUACCGAAGAGUGAUACUCAGGAGACACACGGCGGGUGCUAACGUUCGUCGUGGAGAGGGAAACAACCCAGACCGCCAGCUAAGGUCCCGAAGUCUAUAUUAAGUGGGAAACGAAGUGGGAAGGCUUAGACAGCUAGGAUGUUGGCUUAGAAGCAGCCAUCAUUUAAAGAAAGCGUAAUAGCUCACUAGUCGAGUCGGCCUGCGCGGAAGAUGUAACGGGGCUCAAAUAUAGCACCGAAGCUGCGGCAUCAGAAUUUAUUCUGUUGGGUAGGGGAGCGUUGUGUAAGCGGAUGAAGGUGGCUCGAGAGGGUUGCUGGACGUAUCACAAGUGCGAAUGCUGACAUAAGUAACGAUAAAACGAGUGAAAAACUCGUUCGCCGGAAGACCAAGGGUUCCUGUCCAACGUUAAUCGGGGCAGGGUGAGUCGGCCCCUAAGGCGAGGCUGAAAAGCGUAGUCGAUGGGAAACGGGUUAAUAUUCCCGUACUUGGAUAAACUGCGAUGUGGGGACGGAGAAGGUUAGGUUAGCAGACUGUUGGAUGUCUGUUUAAGGUGGUAGGUGGAAGACUUAGGCAAAUCCGGGUCUUUAUAAAACACUGAGAGCUGAUGACGAGGUCUUAAGGGACUGAAGUAACUGAUACCCUGCUUCCAGGAAAAGCCACUAAGCUUCAGGUUUAUCUAAACCGUACUGAAAACCGACACAGGUGGUCAGGUAGAGAAUACUCAGGCGCUUGAGAGAACUCGGGUGAAGGAACUAGGCAAAAUAGCACCGUAACUUCGGGAGAAGGUGCGCUUACAGUAAUUGUAGUCCCUUGCGGAUGAAGGUGAAGUAAGUCGAAGAUACCAGCUGGCUGCAACUGUUUAUUAAAAACACAGCACUCUGCAAACACGAAAGUGGACGUAUAGGGUGUGAUGCCUGCCCGGUGCUGGAAGGUUAAUUGAUGGUGUUAUCGAAAGAGAAGCUCCUGAUCGAAGCCCCAGUAAACGGCGGCCGUAACUAUAACGGUCCUAAGGUAGCGAAAUUCCUUGUCGGGUAAGUUCCGACCUGCACGAAUGGCAUAAUGAUGGCCAGGCUGUCUCCACCCGAGACUCAGUGAAAUUGAAAUCGCCGUGAAGAUGCGGUGUACCCGCGGCUAGACGGAAAGACCCCGUGAACCUUUACUAUAGCUUGACACUGAACAUUGAAUUUUGAUGUGUAGGAUAGGUGGGAGCCUUUGAAGCAGUGACGCCAGUCAUUGUGGAGGCGACCUUGAAAUACCACCCUUUAACGUUUGAUGUUCUAACGAAGUGCCUGAAACGGGUACUCGGACAGUGUCUGGUGGGUAGUUUGACUGGGGCGGUCUCCUCCCAAAGCGUAACGGAGGAGCACGAAGGUUUGCUAAUGACGGUCGGACAUCGUCAGGUUAGUGCAAUGGUAUAAGCAAGCUUAACUGCGAGACAGACAAGUCGAGCAGGUGCGAAAGCAGGUCAUAGUGAUCCGGUGGUUCUGAAUGGAAGGGCCAUCGCUCAACGGAUAAAAGGUACUCCGGGGAUAACAGGCUGAUACCGCCCAAGAGUUCAUAUCGACGGCGGUGUUUGGCACCUCGAUGUCGGCUCAUCACAUCCUGGGGCUGAAGUAGGUCCCAAGGGUAUGGCUGUUCGCCAUUUAAAGUGGUACGCGAGCUGGGUUUAGAACGUCGUGAGACAGUUCGGUCCCUAUCUGCCGUGGGCGUUGGAUGAUUGAUUGGGGCUGCUCCUAGUACGAGAGGACCGGAGUGGACGCAUCACUGGUGUUCCAGUUGUCUCGCCAGAGGCAUUGCUGGGUAGCUAAAUGCGGAAGAGAUAAGUGCUGAAAGCAUCUAAGCACGAAACUUGCCAAGAGAUGAGUCAUCCCUGACUUUAAGUCAGUAAGGGUUGUUGUAGACUACGACGUAGAUAGGUUGGGUGUGUAAGUGUAGUGAUACAUUGAGCUAACCAAUACUAAUUGCCCGAGAGGCUUAACCAU